rnacentral:rRNA from 1 species
AUUGAACGCUGGCGGCAGGCCUAACACAUGCAAGUCGAGCGGAUGACGGGAGCUUGCUCCUUGAUUCAGCGGCGGACGGGUGAGUAAUGCCUAGGAAUCUGCCUGGUAGUGGGGGACAACGUUUCGAAAGGAACGCUAAUACCGCAUACGUCCUACGGGAGAAAGCAGGGGACCUUCGGGCCUUGCGCUAUCAGAUGAGCCUAGGUCGGAUUAGCUAGUUGGUGGGGUAAUGGCUCACCAAGGCGACGAUCCGUAACUGGUCUGAGAGGAUGAUCAGUCACACUGGAACCGAGACACGGUCCAGACUCCUACGGGAGGCAGCAGUGGGGAAUAUUGGACAAUGGGCGAAAGCCUGAUCCAGCCAUGCCGCAUGUGUGAAGAAGGUCUUCGGAUUGUAAAGCACUUUAAGUUGGGAGGAAGGGCAGUAAGUUAAUACCUUGCUGUUUUGACGUUACCGACAGAAUAAGCACCGGCUAACUCUGUGCCAGCAGCCGCGGUAA